rnacentral:misc_RNA from 1 species
GAUGAAGAACGUAGUGAAAUGCGAUAAGUAAUGUGAAUUGCAGAAUUCAGUGAAUCAUCGAAUCUUUGAACGCACAUUGCGCCCGCUAGUAUUCUGGCGGGCAUGCCUGUUCGAGCGUCAUUUCAACCAUCAAGCCCUGCUUGUGUUGGGGUCCUGCGGCUGCCCGCAGGCCCUGAAAACCAGUGGCGGGCUCGCUAGUCACACCGAGCGCAGUAGCACAUCUCGCUCAGGGCGUGCGGCGGGUUCUUGCCGUAAAACACCCCCUUUUUACCAAGGUUGACCUCGGAUCAGGUAGGAAUACCCGCUGAACUUAAGCAUAUCAAUAAGGGAGGA